rnacentral:ncRNA from 1 species
AGCUACACGUCGAGCAAAAGGGCAAACGCUCGCUCGAUCUCGAUUUUCAGUACGAAUACGGACCGCGAAAGCGUGGCCCAUCGAUCCUUUCACUAUGUUUGGAUGUGUGUGUGUUUGUGGGUACAUUUUUGUAUGUUUUGAACAAACACUUUGCUGGAUUCCAAGGUACUGGUGGAGGGAGCUCCAAAGCUGGGGGGCUGGUGAUUAAGUCCCAAUGAAGCACGUAGGUACGAUAGGAUGUACUUCUUUUCAUGUGGGCAAGGAUUUCAAAUUUUACUUCUGCUGUUCAGGUAGAUACCUGGUUACUGAGAG